AUUCCCCUAGUAACUGCGAGUGAAGCGGGAAAAGCUCAAAUUUGAAAUCUGGCAGUCUUUUUUUUCUUCUUUGGCUGUCCGAGUUGUAAUCUAGAGAAGUGCUUACCUGCACUGGACCAUGUAUAAGUCUCCUGGAAUGGAGCGUCGCAGAGGGUGAGAAUCCCGUCUUUGACAUGGACUGCCAGUGUGUUGUGGUGUGCUCUCAAAGAGUCGAGUUGUUUGGGAAUGCAGCUCUAAAUGGGUGGUAAACUCCAUCUAAAGCUAAAUAUUGGCGAGAGACCGAUAGCGAACAAGUACCGUGAGGGAAAGAUGAAAAGGACUUUGGAAAGAGAGUUAAACAGUAUGUGAAAUUGUUGAAAGGGAAACGCUUGAAGUCAGUUAUGUUGGCUAGGGAUCAACCUAGCUWUUUAUUGCUGGGUGAAUUUCCUAGUCUGACAGGCCAACAUCAGUCUUGACUGCUAGAAAAGAGCAGAGGGAAUGUGGCACCUUUGGGUGUGUUAUAGCCUUUUGUCAUAUGCGGCAGUUGGGAYUGAGGGAUGCAGCGUGCCGUGAGGCUGGGUUUCAACCACGUUCGCGCUUAGGAUGUUGGCUUUUAAUGGCUUCAAUCGACCCGUCUUGAAACACGGACCAAGGAGUCUAACAUGCCUGUGAGUGUUUGGGUGGGGAAAACCCUUGUGCACAAUGAAAGUGAAAGUUGAGAUCCCUGUCAUGGGGAGCAUCGACGCCCGGACCUGAGCUUUUAAGCAAAGGAUCYGCGGUAGAGCAUGCAUGUUGGGACCCGAAAGAUGGUGAACUAUGCCUGAAUAGGGCAAAGCCAGAGGAAACUCUGGUGGAGGCUCGUAGCGAUUCUGACGUGCAAAUCGAUCGUCAAAUUUGGGUAUAGGGGCGAAAGACUAAUCGAACCAUUUAGUAGCUGGUUCCUGCCGAAGUUUCCCUCAGGAUAGCAGAAGCUCAUUAUCAGAUUUAUGUGGUAAAGCGAAUGAUUAGAGGCCUUGGGGUUGAAACAACCUUAACCUAUUCUCAAACUUUAAAUAUGUAAGAACGAGCUGUCACUUGACUGGACUGCUCGGUGAUUGAGAGCUUCUAGUGGGCCAUUUUUGGUAAGCAGAACUGGCGAUGCGGGAUGAACCGAUCGCAAGGUUAAGGUGCCAGAGUUCACGCUCAUCAGACACCACAAAAGGUGUUAGUUCAUCUAGACAGCAGGACGGUGGCCAUGGAAGUCGGAAUCCGCUAAGGAGUGUGUAACAACUCACCUGCCGAAUGAACUAGCCCUGAAAAUGGAUGGCGCUUAAGCGUGACACCCAUACCUUGCUGUCAGUGUUGGUAGUGAUGCACUGACAGAGUAGGCAGGCGUGGAGGUCAGUGAAGAAGCCUAGGCAG
rnacentral:rRNA from 1 species